rnacentral:rRNA from 1 species
GCCUUUUAUUUACACUAAAAAGAAAAUAUUAAUUUAAUCUGUUAAAUAAUAAAUUUAUUAAAAUAAUUAUACACAUAUAAGAAAUAUAAUAUAUCAUAUAAAUAUAAUACAGUAAUGGAAAUUAUAAUAAUAAAAAGUAAAUUUUAUGUACCUUUUGCAUCAUGGGUAUACAAGCAUAAAGUAUAAUCUAAUAACCCGAAUCUUAAAUGAGCUGUAUUAAUAUUGUUAAGAACUAAUUAUUUAAUGUUUCACUAUUAUUAAAAAAUAUUAUAACAGAGGCUACAUACCAUACGCAUUAAGAAAUAUCUGGCUUCUAAAAAAAAAAUUGUUUAUCAAUAUUUCUAAUAUAGAAAAUUAAAUUAUAGAUUAUAAGGUCUAUAAUUAACACUUAUAUAAAUUAUAUUAUUUAAAGUAGGCCUAAAAUCAGCCAUCUAGUAGUACCUUACCGUAGUAAAAAAAAAAAANUAAUUUACUAAUAUAGAGUAACUAUAGAAUAUUAAAAUAAUUAAAUUAUUAAUAUUAAAAUGUAUAUAUUAGUAUAUUAUAAAUUAAGUUUAAGGAAUUAGGCAAAUAUAAUUUUCGACUGUUUAACAAAAACAUUUCCUCUAGUAAAAAUAUUAAAGGUACUCUCUGCCCACGGAAAGCUUUAACGGCCGCGGUAUACUAACCGUGCUAAGGUAGCAUAAUAAUUUGUCUAUUAAUAGUAGAAUAGAAUGAAAGAGAAAACGAAAAAUUAACUGUCUCAAACUUUAAAAUAAAAAUUAUUAUUUAAGUGAAGAAACUUAGAUAAAUCUGUAAGACAAGAAGACCCUAUAAAGCUUUAUAAAUACCAUAAACUAAUUAAGGGUUAUAUUCGGUUGGGGCGACCUAGGUAUAAUAAAACAACCUAUAAAUAAAUAGAAUUAUAAUUCAUAAGUAGAUCCGUAUAACUAAAAAAUUUAGCUACUUUAGGGAUAACAGGCUAAAAUAUUUAAAGAGCUCCUAUCGACAAAUAUGCUUGGCACCUCGAUGUUGGCUUAAGAUACCUAAAUUACGCAGUAGUUAUUUAAGGUGGUAGGUUUGACCAUUAAAAUCUUACAUGAGCUGAGUUCAGACCGGCGUAAGCCAGGUUAGAUUCUAUCUACAGAAAAAAAAAAAUCAUCUCUAGUACGAGAGGACCAAGAUGAAACUAUUACUAGUUUUUAUAAAUAAAAAUUCAUG